GCUAAGCCGCCGAGCCAGCCGGGCUGCCCUCUUCUUGGUGUUCUAAUCAGCGUGUCCACUGGACCCCGGGCACGGGAGGGAGGACUCGCAGAGUAGUCGAGCAAGGAACGCUUAUCGAAAUGUUACUCUAGGAGCAACCAAGGAAGACGUCCCCCUGCCCUUCCAACCCGGGGCUGAGAUCCAGGCCUCCUCGCAGGGGGCACAGCUGUGCCCAGUGCUGCUGGCCGUGGCCGUGGGGCUACACCAGCAAAACUGGCUGGAAAUCUGCCCUUGAGGGGAGGGCGGCUCUCCACGGACAGCCCUCUACAAACCGCCUAGAGAGAGAGCCACGGGACGCUGCUGGCCCGGAGAGGCCGCCCACGCCGCAGGAGCCCGGAGCGGGCACAGCGUCACCCGGCCAGCUCGCUGGGACCUGUUGCAGCCUCGCUGAAUACGUUCCUACCUGCAGACUAAACUGUCAAGGUAACUUCCCACAAGUUGCAUGUGAACUAAAGAUGGGAAGAAGGAGCGAGAAGAAGGAGACAGCAGGUGCAAAGGAGCACACGUGCACGUGCUCGCGCAAGGGUCAAGCAAACAGGACGCAGGCUGAGCUACCCCACGAUUCACUUCCAUGUGGCUUCAAGAUGGCCAGAUGGUAGUUUUCAUCGUCCAAGCAGUGAAACCAUUGCUGCGUUGCUGGUGGAAGGCUUCCUCUGACCUCUGGGUCUCAGUACCCCUGCUCCUCUAAGUGGCUCCCUCUCCGCAGUGCUCCCAGGGACGGCUUCUUGUUCACUGUCUUGGGUUGGCGUCGAAGCUCCAGGGGCUUUCACUAAAUGCUUCCUGCCAUAACAGUCCUCGCCUCGUGGGUCAGAGAGCCAGCGUGGGACCCUGAGGGUUGCUCGGUGUGUCUCCUCCAACCAGACAUUUAGGAACUGGAGAAAUCACCAGAGGGUUGGUCCACGGACCAACUGGGUGAAUCAGACCUGAGCGGAGGAGACUCCAGCUAUCACCUAUCCACCCACUGAAAUCAGGGCACCAUCUCUGCAGCAACAUCUUUGCAGCUCACGCCUGACCUAAAAAGCAGAGCAAACACAGAGAUUUGUAGGAUGGAGGCCCUCUGUUCACAAAUGUAUUUUCCUAUUUCUUAGCAGACCAAGUGUCUUCUGAGCCUCCUUGUAGAACACGCUAGAGGGUCGAGUGUGCAGGUUGCACACUCCUGCCCCCAGUCUGCAGUCCUACCCACUCAGCCCUGGCCUCUAACCUCGUUAACUAUGGGCCAGUAUUGAGCCCAAGCCCCAGUCAGCCAACCAAAUGAGCUGUGAGGAACACUUCCAGCUCGUGCUGGGUAGACUCUAAGACAGCCCCCGGUGACCCCUGCCUCUUGGUAUUCACGCCUUUGUGUAAUUGAGCAUGGGCGGGACCUGCGACACACUUCUCACCAAUUCAAUAUGACCAAGGCAAUGGGGUGUCGCUUCUGUGGUUAGGUUAUGUAAGACUGUGACCUCUGUCUCGCUAGCAGCCUUUCUCUAUUGCCCCCUCAGCUUGCAGACUUUGGUAAAGUAAGUGACCGUGCUGAAGAGGUCCACGGGGGCAGCCUCCAGCUAACAGCCAACGAGGUACUGAGGCCCCCCCCUUCAACAGCCUGCGGGGACCUGAAUACUGCCAACAACCACGUGAGCAUGGAAGGGGGUCCUUCCCCAGUUGAGCCUUCAGCUGAGACCCCAGCCCAGCUGCCACCUUGAGUGGUAGCCCGGUGAGAAGCCUUGGAGCAGAUGUCCAGGUGACUGACCCAUCGAAAGCGUGAGAUAAAGAAGGUGUGCUGCUUUGAGUCUCUAAGUUUGCAGUAAUUGGUUACGUGACAAUAGGCAAUUAACACCUAGUCACACAAGCUAACAUGUUAAUCCGGCAUCUCUAGAAGGUGUCUACCCUGUAUGACCCGACCCGAUACUGUAUUUCCUCUUCCUUGGUCUAAUGCCCUCAGAAUCUACACCCACGUAUGUUCUCCAGAUUUCUGCCAAUGCGUAGCAAAAAGCCUUGCGAUCCUUUUGGUUAGACUUUUGCCAGUUGAAAUGCACACCUGUCCUCCAGGGGUAUGUUGAGAAUGGGGUCUUGUUAGGGGUCUGGUGGCAACAGGGAGUGGGUAUGAUGGCUUUCAAGGAGAACGAGCUCCCCUCCAGGUGCCCAGGGGGGUUUUCAUAGUGUUUUAGGCGGAGGACGUCUUGCUCUUUUAGACACGAGAAGGAAAGCUACUUCCCGUGGUCAGCGAAGCUCAGCGGGAAGGGCGUUCAAGACUGACAGUCUCGUUUGGCUCCAGUAAGAUGUCCCCAUUGCAAGUUUCAGGAUCCUGUUCUUUACUAAUCAGCGCCCUGACUUUCUCCCCAGAAACUUGUUGAGACUGUGGAUUCAAUUGUUAUUUCAGCCGCCUGCACAAUUAAAUUUUUUAUUUGAUUUUCAGCAAUAUCAGCCUUGCAAGCACCAAAGAAAUUAAGGCUUCUUUCGGAGCUGUCAUGGAAGCUUGCUGGUUUGCAGACCAUGACUGGAGCAGAGAGCUAGCAGACCUGAGCUUGUCAUCUUCUCUUUGUUAGUGCUCAAGUGCGUUCAAAAGAAUCCGGAGCUCACUAAAACCCUCAUAGUCAUCAUUACUGCCAUAACGGUCAGGUUCAGCAUCCGCUGGGGCGCCCGAGGCAUGGGCCACUUCAUCACAAUCAACCACACGUGAGUAUUUGACUAAUUGCCAUGCUGCUGCACGUGUGGAUUACUAAGGUCCCAUUCCCCACUGACAGCUCGGUGCCGCGUUCAAGCCCAAAGGCAGGACCGAACCCAUCCCCAAACCCCAUCUGUCACGUGGCACUACUCUUUGCACCAAUUUUGGAUCAGUCAGGGUCCAAUCAGGAGACAGAAAUGACACAGGGGAAGUGUAACACAAAAAAUUAUUACCUGUACCAAGGAUCGGAGGAAUGAGGAGUGGCUGGCAAGAAGCGGAAGAGAAUCCUAAAGAACAUCCCUAAGGAACAGCAGCUCCAAGGAGCAGCUGCUACCCCUAGGCCUGAGGGAGAGCACCCACGAUGCCCCACCACUGGACUGAGAUUGAGAAGUUGGGGAGGGGAUGUGGUUGUAGUUCACUGAAUGUUAAGGAGGUUACUGAGGUGCCAGGCUGGCAGGAUGUGUUGGGAACCCACCAUAAGAGCUCGCUGGAGGGACAUCUGGGUGGCUCAGUGGUGGUGUGUCUGCCUUUGGCUCAGGGCGUGAUCCUGGGGUCCCAGGAUCAAGUCCCACAUCGGGCUCCCUGCAUGGAGCCUGCUUCUCCCUCUGCC